rnacentral:rRNA from 1 species
AUUCGGCAAAAUAGAUCCGUAACUUCGGGAAAAGGAUUGGCUCUGAGGACUGGGCAUGCAUCCCUCUGUCCACGACCGAUUGGACUUGACUGAGGGCCUAGCUCUAGGUCGAGAACGAGGAGUUGGUGACUCUGGGUGUGCACGCGAUCAUCAGUCAGCUCAGAACUGAAGCGGUCAAGGGGAAUCUAACUGUUUAAUAAAAACAAAGCUUUGUGAUGUCCCGAAAGGGUUUUGACACAAUGUGAUUUCUGCCCAGUGCUUUGAACGUUAACGUGAAGAAAUUCAACUAAGCGCAGGUAAACGGCAGGUGUAACUAUAACACUUUUAAGGUAGCCAAAUGCCUCGUCAUCUAAUUAGUGACGUGCAUGAAUGGAUCAAUGAGAUUCCUACUGUCCCAAAUGACCAUCUAACGAACCCACAGCCAAGGGAACGGGCUUGGCAAAAUCAGCGGGGAAAGAAGACCCUGUUGAGCUUUGAAGAAGAGUGACAUUGUGACGUGGCAAUUGGGGUAUAGUGUAGGUGGGAGGUUCGCCAACAAUGUAACACCACUACUCAUUUCGUCAUUUUACUAAUUCCGUAAAGCAGAGCUCCUCCGGGAAUUCUUGCGCUAAAGUCCGUAAGGACCGAUCUGGGCGGAAGACAGUGUCAUCCGAUUUUCUUGACUGGGGCGGUACAUCUGUUAAACGAUAACGCAGGUGUCCUAAGGCGAGCUCAAAGAGAACAGAAAUCUCUUGUAGACCAAAAGGGGAAAAGCUCGCUUGAUUUUGAUUUUCAGUACAAAUACAAACUGUGAAAGCAUGGCCUAUAGAUCCUUAGAUUUUACAAGUCUUAAAUUUGAGGUGUCAGAAAAGUUACCACAGGGAUAACUGACUUGUGGCGACCCGAGCGUACAGAGCGACGGCGCUUUUUGAUCCUUCGAUGUCGGCUCUUCUUAUCAUUGUGUUGCAGAAGGCACAACGUGUCGGAUUGUUCACCCGCUAAUAAGGAACGUGAGCUGGGUUUAGACCGUCGAGAGACAGGUUAGUUUUACCCUACUGAUGAAUUGAUGUCGCGACAGUAAGUCAA